GAGUAAUGAGCAAGAAUCUCAUCUCCGAUACCUACGAAAUGUAAGUAUAAAAGCUAAAGUUUUAUGGUUUUUUUAGAACAUGAAUAUUUAGUUGAAAAGAUUUUAUCGUCGGCAGAUAUAUUCUUUCCCUUAAAUAAAAAACUUUAUUAUAAACUAAAGUCGGACUAGCCCUUUCGUUAGAACUUUAACCAUAACUAAGAGUUGUUUAUUUAAAGGAAAGAUAACAGAGCUUGUUUAGAAUUAGGUAGUUGGCUGUUUAAAAGACUCCCAAGCCUAUGAUUCUUAGUUGAUUUGAGAGAAUGAUCAACCACAUUGGGAUUGAAAACAGCCCAAGUUCCGUAAGGAGGCAGCAGUGAGGAAUAUUGAACAAUGAACGCAAGUUUGAUUCAGUAAUGUUACGUGGAUGAUGAAGGUCGAUUGCGUCCGUAAAAUCCUUUCGUCAAUGAAAAUAAUGAUAUUAGUUGAAGAAGAAGUCCCGACUAACUUCGUGCCAGCAGUCGCGGUAAUACGGAGGGGGCUAGUGUUACUCUUCAUAACUGGGCUUAAAGGGCAUGUAGGAUGUUAAUACGAUCACUAUUAAAAAAGAAGCAUAAUACGCUUCAGUGGUAGUUUUGUUCGAUUAACUUGAGUAUGUAUAAAGAUAGUCGAACUUUUAGUGGAGAGGUAAAAUUCGAAGAUAUUAAAAGGGCGUUCAAAUGGUGAAGACAACUAUCUGAUACGUACUGACUCUAAUGUGCAAAAGCGUAGGGAGCAAACAGGAUUAGAGACCCUGGUAGUCUACGCUGUGACCUAUGAAUAUUGGACACUUUAUACAAAAUUAAUUUGUUUAAGCUAACGCUAAAAUAUUCCGCCUGGGGACUAUGACCGCAAGGUUGAAACUCAAAGGAAUUGACUGAGAUUUACACAAGCGGUGGAACAUGUAGUUUAAUUCGAUAUAAAUCGACAAAUCUUACCAGUUCUUGAGAUGUAAUUAAAGUUUAGAAAUAAAUUACAUUUUUAACGUUUAUUAGAUUAAUCUUAAAAAUAAAUUACACAGGUGUUGCAUGGCUGUCGUCAGCUCGUGUUGUGAAAUGUAUGGUUAACUCCAUUAACGAGCGAAACCCUUUAUUAAAAAUUGUUUUACUAAACCAAAUUUAAUUUAUGAUCGAUCAAUAGUCGGUUGAAACUUAGGUUGAAGUCAAGUCAGUAUGACCCUUAUGAACUAGGGCUACACACGUGUUACAAUGAUAACUACAAAAAGAAGCAAUACCGUGAGGUGGAGCAA
rnacentral:rRNA from 1 species